rnacentral:rRNA from 1 species
UACGUAGGGGGCUAGCGUUGUCCGGAUUUAUUGGGCGUAAAGAGCGUGUAGGCGGCCAGGUAGGUCUGCUGUGAAAACCCGAGGCUCAACCUCGAGACGUCGGCGGAAACCAUCUGGCUAGAGUCCGGAAGAGGAGAGUGGAAUUCCUGGUGUAGCGGUGAAAUGCGCAGAUAUCAGGAAGAACACCCGUGGCGAAGGCGGCUCUCUGGGACGGUACUGACGCUGAGACGCGAAAGCGUGGGGAGCGAACAGG